UUAAAAGAAGCUUCUGAUCUGGCAAAGUCUCAAUGGAUAAUUUUAAUAUGGAAUAAUUUCCUUGCAUAUAAUAUCAAUUUUAGUCAUAAACAAAAUGAUUUUUGCUUUUGUUUUUUGUGUUUUUUUUCUACAUGUCCAGAAGA